rnacentral:rRNA from 1 species
AUGGCUCAUAAUAGAGAUAAUGAUACUCAGUCGGGAAACAAUGUUGCGGAUGAUAUGAGUGAGGAUGACUUAUCCUCUGAUGCAUCACCUUUUUCUUCGGGGAAUUCAAAUGGUAGUCCGGUCGUUUUCAAUAUCACCGAUAGGGACAUGGACGACGAAAUUAUAACAGUUCAGAGUUCACCCCCUGAAGAUAGCCCACCCGAUAAGCGAAAAUCACUUUUGGAGAAUAAGAAGAAGAAGAAGAAGAGAAAGGUUACAGAGGACGAGGAUAACAAAAUGGAGGAGGAAUCAGAUGGGAAGGAGGACAACGCAGGCGAGGAGGAAGAGGAGGACAGUGAGGAGGAGGAGGAGGACAGUGAGGAGGAGGAGGAUGAGUGA